UAAACAUAAAGGUUCUACUCAUCCUGA
rnacentral:piRNA from 1 species